GGCCCCCUAUGUCUCAAAACCAGCAUAGGUGCAUCAACUGUUUCUCGUGCUCAGAAUCUCUUGGACUUCCCCUUCUAUAACAUCUUUCCUGCCUUUUCUUCUACCACAUGUGACUCCAGCCUGAGAAAAUGAUCUGCCUUUAAGACUUACGUGAUUAGGUUGGGAUCACCCAGGAUUUUGAAAAAGCAAGCUGACAUAAAUCCUAUAAUCACAAGGAAAUGAGUUUUACCAACAACCAGAGAAAGCUUGGAAGCAGAUUCUUUCUACGUAGAGCCUCCAGAUGAGAACCAGCUAAGUCAUGCCUGGACUUCUGACCCACAGAAACUGAGGAUAAUAAAUGUUUUAAGCCACCAAGUUUGCGAUAAUUUGUUACAAAGCAUAGAAAGCUAACACAGAUGACUUGAAUUCUAAAUUCCAUGUAAAAUUUUAUAACUUUUCUCUUUAUGUAUUCAGAUAAACAAUAUUCCUUACACACAUUUGAAAACAUAUCAAUAUAAGACAGCUAAAUAUUUUUUAAAGUUACAACGUAAUACAAAUAGAAGAUAUAUAAGAAAGCAAAAUCAAAUUAUGUUUUCCUUUCAGAAUUAUAAAACCCCCACCUAGCAAUGCUAGGCUCCUGACAUAAAUUACUGAAAAAUAGUCAGUAAUGAAUUUUAAAGCCAAAACAGAAAGUCUUAGUCCCUUUCUACCAAAAAGGUAUUUAACACAUCUUAAAACAAAAAUCGAGUAACCCGGGGAGGAUAAAAUAAAUUUGUGUCACACCAAAGGAAGAUGUAAAAAUUGUUUGGUUUGCAGAAAAAUCAUUCAAAAUCAUUUCAAUCCUUGGCUCAUAAAUAAUGCAAACUUAAUGAGAUAUUCUAUCCUAACAUGUAUAGAUGAAGUUCUUAAUUAUUUCAAAGGGGAUUGUGCCUACAUACCUGAAAUUUAAACUUUCCCUGUAGAAAACAAUAAAAACAUACACUUCUUUAUAGAUAUAUUUAGAAUGUGUUAUCCCCAACUAAUAUUUUCUAAACUACACACAUACUUAAACACUGAAUUUAAGAUAUAAACUGAGAUCCUUACCAAUUUUGAAUGGAGUUUAAUCACAUCAACCCACAUAAAAGUCUCACAUGAACACAUAUUUUUAUGUGACAUAUUUUUCUUCAAAUAAAUAUUGCUUCUCAGACUUUUUAGCAACUGUGGCAAAAACACUCAUUGUGAAUUUAUUUUUCUUACAGCUUGUAUAUGUUUUCUUUAUCUUGAAUUGUCUGCCCAAGUAGAUGAGAGAUUUGAAAAAUUCUGUCGACAGUGGUAACAGAGUCAGAGGUCAAAAGUUUCCAAGCAUGAACUAAACCUAAACAGCAAGAAAAAUAUCAAAAUGUAUGCAAAAAUACACAGAAAGGUUAUUGAUCUUCUAAAAUCA